CGAGUUUGAUCAUGGCUCAGAACGACGCUGGCGGCAUGCCUAACACAUGCAAGUCGAACGAGACCUUCGGGUCUAGUGGCGCACGGGUGCGUAACGCGUGGGAACCUGCCUUUAGGUUCGGAAUAACUCAGAGAAAUUUGAGCUAAUACCGGAUAAUGUCUUCGGACCAAAGAUUUAUCGCCUUUAGAUGGGGCCCGCGUUGGAUUAGCUAGUUGGUGGGGUAAAGGCCUACCAAGGCGACGAUCCAUAGCUGGUCUGAGAGGAUGAUCAGCCACACUGGGACUGAGACACGGCCCAGACUCCUACGGGAGGCAGCAGUGGGGAAUAUUGGGACAAUGGGCGAAAGCCUGAUCCAGCAAUGCCGCGUGAGUGAUGAAGGCCUUAGGGUUGUAAAGCUCUUUUACCCGAGAUGAUAAUGACAGUAUCGGGAGAAUAAGCUCCGGCUAACUCCGUG
rnacentral:rRNA from 1 species